rnacentral:snRNA from 1 species
AUACUCACUUCAGCAGCACAUCUACUAAAAUUGGAAUGAUACAAAGAUUAACAUGGCCCAUGCUCAGGGAUGACACACAAAUUCGUGAAGCAUUCCGUAUUUUU